UAGGGAAUCUUCGGCAAUGGACGAAAGUCUGACCGAGCAACGCCGCGUGAGUGAAGAAGGUUUUCGGAUCGUAAAACUCUGUUGGUAGAGAAGAACGUUGGUGAGAGUGGAAAGCUCAUCAAGUGACGGUAACUACCCAGAAAGGGACGGCUGACUACGUGCCAC
rnacentral:rRNA from 1 species